rnacentral:lncRNA from 1 species
AGCAGGAGUCAUCUCUUCUUGGCCCCUAUCUGAAAUUUUGGCCAUAUGCUUCCCCACGGGCUCCGGUAGCUAUAGCACUCUUCAGUGGGCCAAGCAUGGACAGGUCAUCCAUUGUCUGAGUCUCCUAACCCUCCUAGCAUCGCAAAAAGGAAAGAAACUGAAACAGACAAUGCCUCUCAUAAAGGAUUUCUGCAGAAAGAAAAGGGAAAGGGUUAUAACUAUAUCAGUCUUUUAGCAUUUUUUAAAAACCCAGGCUCAGGAAAAAAACUAAAGGAUAGCAUAUAAUUCUGCAUAAGUAAAAGCCACAUUAUACCUUUAGUCACAGUACAGGAAGCAGAGGCAGACAGAUCUCUGAGUUCAAGGCCAGCCUAGUCUGCAUAGUAAAACUUCGUCUCAAAAAAGUUAAUUUAUGGGCUGGAAAGAUGGCUCAGCAGUUAAGAACACUGACUGCUCUCCCAGAGGUCAAGUUCAAUUCCCAGCAGCCACAUGGUGGCUCACAACCAUCUGCUAUGGAAUCUGAUGCCCUAUUCUGGUAUGUCUGAAGACAGAGACAGAAUAUUCAUAUAAAUAAAAUCUUUUUUUUUUAAGUUAUAAGCCAGGUGUGGUGGUGCACACCUUUAAUCCCAGCACUCAGGUGGCAGAGGCAAGCAGAUUUCUGAGUUCGAGGCCAGCCUGGUCUACAGAGUGAGUUCCAGGACAGCCAGGGCUAUACAGAGAAACCCUGUCUCGAAAAACAAACAAAAAAAACUCCAAAAAAACAACAACAAAAAAAAAGUUAAUUUAUUACACAAAACAGAUCCUGAGUCCUAAAACUCUCAGGAUCCAUGAUAUAUGAUAAAUUAACUUUGACUCAUCUAGAACAGUAUUUAACAUGUGUGUUAGAGAAUGGUCACUUUAAAUCUGGUCUUUCUUCUUCACCGUCAUGGCAAUCUCUGCUUCCUUCCUCUCUCCUCAAAGUCACACCUCAGUCUAUCUCCCCAGACAUGGGCCAUUGGCUCCUUAUUGAUUGAUCAAAAACCAAUUGGGGACAAGGACUUUCACCAUUUGGUCAUACAGAUUCCCAGUUUGGGGAGCCAGAUUAAUUCAAAACAUUAGAAUCAAUCCCCAACAACUUGGCGCUAAAGCAAAUGUCCCUGGGUUCAGUCCUCAGCACCACAAACCCAAAAGGAAAAAGAAGCCAGCAAUGAAAAAGAAGAGCUCUAUAUCAACAUGGACGUGUACACUGAGGUAGGUAUGAGUGAAAUGAAACUUAGCCUUGAGAGCCAUCCUAAUUCAGCAAAACAGGACAAAAGAGCUGAUUCAAGUUAAGUGGUAACAAAGCUUGAUAAUACUGAAUCCCGGGGGCAGGCUUGUGAGAAUCAUUAUGCUCUGUUUUAUUUUGUGGUUGAAGGCUUUAUUGUUUGUUUGUUUAUUUAUGUAAUUUGCAGCAUAAGUCUUAAGCCUGUAAUGUUAUGUUACCUGCCCCUUGACCCUCUCCCCGUAUAAGGAGAUUUGAAGGAGAAAGUGUUAUUUCACAGUUUUGGAACUUCUGACACAAGCGUUUUCAGAUAGUGAAUAGAACCUAGAAGCUGCAGACUAAAUAGAAAUGAGGUUCAUGCUAGUGGCUGGGUCCAUAUGGAGGCUCCCUAGCAUAGCUCACACCAUGAGUAAUCAGAGAGGCACCUCAUCACCUGGUUUUAUGAAGUAUGCCUGUGAUUUCCCAGCCCUAUAAAAGUUGAGAAAUCAAGAAAGAAAAGCCAUAGAGAACUUAGGUAAAAAUGAAAAGGACAAAUCGGUAGUUUAGUAAAAACAUCUCUGAAAUUGUUGGCUGACAUGGGGAUAAAAAUAUCUAUUCCAUUUAAUUCAAAGAUGCUAAAAAAUUAUUUCUAUUUCUGUCUUCCCUCUAAAUAAACUCUCUAGAAACUAAAAAUUUGUACUUUGGUGUCAUGUAAGUCUAUAAAUGUUUUAGUCUAGAAACACUUCCCCAUUUUAAAAAUAAAAUUAGCUUGUUUUAGAAAUGGGAUCAGUUUUCCUGUAAAACGGCCCAGGUUCCAGAUUUCUGCUUCCUUAUAAGUAUGGCUUGUUUCUAUUAAAUGCCAAAAUUGUCCUUUGGUAUGGAAGCUCUUUCUUGCAUUAUCUUCAGUUUGUACUCCUGUGGGAUAGUUUGUGGAGUGGUUAAGAUGUUGAUUAUGUUUCAAAUCCUAGUCCUUCCUAAUGCCAGCUGAGUGACCUUGAGUCAGUUACUGAAGGUAUCUGAGUUUUAAAUGGGAAAAACAAAACUCCAUAGAAUUCUGAGAAUUCAGUGAGAUAGCAUAUG